rnacentral:antisense_RNA from 1 species
CUUCACGGAGCCCAGCAGCAGCGGCAGGUCCUGGUCGCGGUCCUGGCCGUAGGUGGCCAGCAGCGCCUGGGCCUC